rnacentral:rRNA from 1 species
AUACGUAGGGGGCUAGCGUUAUCCGGAAUUACUGGGCGUAAAGGGUGCGUAGGUGGUUUCUUAAGUCAGAAGUGAAAGGCUACGGCUCAACCGUAGUAAGCUUUUGAAACUAAGAGACUUGAGUGCAGGAGAGGAGAGUAGAAUUCCUAGUGUAGCGGUGAAAUGCGUAGAUAUUAGGAGGAAUACCAGUUGCGAAGGCGGCGCUCGGGACUGUAACUGACACUGAGGCACGAAAGCGUGGGGAGCAAACAGGAUUAGAUCCCCUGGUAGUCCACGCCGUAAACGAUGAGUACUAGCUGUCGGGGGUUACCCCCCUCGGUGGCGCAGCUAACGCAUUAAGUACUCCGCCUGGGAAGUACGCUCGCAAGAGUGAAACUCAAAGGAAUUGACGGGG